UACGUAGGGUGCAAGCGUUAAUCGGAAUUACUGGGCGUAAAGCGUGCGCAGGCGGUUGUGUAAGACAGAUGUGAAAUCCCCGGGCUCAGCCUGGGAACUGCAUUUGUGACUGCACAGCUGGAGUGCGGCAGAGGGGGAUGGAAUUCCGCGUGUAGCAGUGAAAUGCGUAGAUAUGCGGAGGAACACCGAUGGCGAAGGCAAUCCCCUGGGCCUGCACUGACGCUCAUGCACGAAAGCGUGGGGAGCAAACAGG
rnacentral:rRNA from 1 species